UUUAAAUGGAGUCAGGUAUGAAUGGGAAAACCGGGUUUAGCUGUCUCCUGCUUACUAUCUUGAAUUUACUGUUCAAAUGAAAAAGUUUGAUUUUAAUAAAAAGACGAGAAGACCCUUAGAAUUUUUUUUAAAAAGGAUUUUGUUCUUAAUGAUUUUGUUGGGGUGACAGAGAAAUAUUUAGAACUUUCUUUAAUUUUACAAGCCGAAUUUUUUAAGCAAGAAUAAAUUACCUGAGGGAUAACAGCAUUAUUCUAUAGAUGAGUUUGUGACCUCGAUGUUGGACUAGGAAACUAGCAGGCUAGCCGUUUGCUGUGUGAGUUCUGUUCGAACUUUAAUUCCU
rnacentral:rRNA from 1 species